CAUAAUAUCGUUUUCACUGCAUGCGGCAGUAUCGGUUUGCCAUACAAUUUGAUUUAAUUAUUUUUAUACCUUCGAUGCAAGAUUGACCUUUACUGUCCAUUUUUCCAAAGUACAGAAUACAUAAGUGGACAGACCUUGCUUGACAGAAGCAAAGUGUCCUUGCUGCAGGCCGAGUCUAGAAUUUCGUGUUAUUUUCAUGAUCCGCAAAAUCGAGUUCACGCGAAGCUCUGAAGUCCUUAUAAAAGCAUCAGCUCUGAAAAUAUGGAUCAUUAUUGGAAUAAGACUUGAACGUGCUUUGAGCUUGGAUUAAAACUAGAGGAGAAAUUGGUUAGACUUCAUGGGUCCGCUGCAACACGUGUUUUGGAUAGUCUGUGUGGUGUUAAGUUUAAACCUCUGUCUAGCAUUUCCAAUGUGGUAUGGUCGUCCGAUCUUCAUGGGAGGUUAUCGACGUAAUGGAAACUGGUGGGAAAAUUAUGACGGAGACGGGGAAUUCUUCAAUGGUAGGGGGAUCACUGGGCCACACACAUUGGAUGAAAUAGAUAAAACUGACUUCUUGUGGUAACGCGAUAUUUCCGUUGCUAUGGUUGCAUUAUUCUUUUGUGAAAGUGUCGUGAUUA